CUUGGGCUUGGUCUUCUGAACAGCCAAAAAAACAUGCAACUGUAAGAAGAUGGAUUGAUGGUAAAAAGAGUGAAGAAUUGUGAUUUAGUGAAUAGAAAAGCAUAUGUACAUUAUAAUACUACAGACAAGGAAAUAAUAAUCCUAAUAUGAAGAUAAGUGUUUUUCUUAUUGAUGGCUGUAAGAUGGACUGAUCGUAAAAAGAGAGAAGAAUUUUGAUUCAGUGAACAGAAAACAAGACGUUAUUAUUCAGCUGUGAUACUCGAUAUUUGACAAGUACCGAUAUUUGACAAGUAUGGUUUCAUGUAUACUCCUACAAGUUAGGUAGAGCAAUGUACAAGAUAAAUCAUUUUAUAUAAAGCGUGUCCAAUCAAUAUCCAAAAUGCUAUCGAGCAGAGCAUAGAAACAGAGUCCCAAAAAUCUAAUUAUCUGCUGCGGCGACAGCCACGCAGCAAGCCAGCAGCGGCAUGCUGGGGCGAGGGUUGGGGAGGAGGCAAGUGUUCUCAGGUUAUUAACAUCUCUCCAAAAAGAAAAAAGAAAACAACUUAAAAUAUUGAGUGUGGUAGCAACAUCUACUUUUUACUGGAGUUCCAAUUCAAGAUGGCCAAUGGCCACUUGGCACCAUGGAACCUACACAAUUUCCAUCAUAUAUAUGAAUGAGUUAGGAAGUAAAGUAGAUUUGAACUACCCAGCCUCAUACAUAUAUAUAAAGUGUGUUGCACUGCUGCUACAGAAAGUUUCAUAGGCUUCCAAGUGAAGGGAUACACGUUGUUCAACUAUCGUGUUUAUUUUUUGUUGUUGGGGAAAGCAAUAGCUUAAUCAGUUCACUUCUCUAAUAGUAUGAACAGCCUAUCACUCAAACAGUCCUUGAGUGCUAAUAUAUUAUUGUAUUGGUAAAAGAAACAUGUCACCACAAAUAGCUUUAACAGUUAGCACAAUUUUUUAUUAGAGAAGUUCAGAGAGAGAUUUGAGAAAUCUAUAUUAGAGAAAACUUGAAGACAAUAUACAUAAUUAUGAGCUUAACAGUUACUGCCAUGACCAUAUCGCGCAAGCUACAACAUAUAAAUUAAUUAGCAUUAGUAUGAUGUAUAUGGACAGAAUUUCUACCUUGCCGUCCGCAAGAAACAUGACGGGAGGUCGAGGAGAUUUUGAGCGGCUCCGUGUCAGCUUCCAUCACCACGAUGAACUCAGAUGUCCCGCUGUUAAGAGAACUUGGUCGCUGUGGAAAGCAAGAAACAAAGAUUAAAAUCACAGGAGGUGAAAUUAACAGGAAGGACGAAUGGGCACUGCUAGGGAUUGGUCACCUUCAUGGGGAACUGAACAUCCAACUAGUUUUAGUCAAAGUCUUAAGCAUAUACAUACAUACAAAUUGAACCAAAAAUCAUAUGCAUGUCUGUACAAUUAAUUGCAAGGCUAUCCAACUUGCAGUUGGAGAGAGUACAAACUAGUUUACUGGUAGUACAGCACAUCAGCCUACACAACAUUCAGGUUCUCGCACGAAUGCUAGUAGACAGACAAGAGUUGACCACAAACAAAGAAUGAAUCCAUCGUAUUAUGCCAGUAGUAGGUACAGCUUGGCUUCAGUCAUAGAAAGGGAACAUGAGUUUGUUUGCUUGAACCAAAAGGUUCACCAUAGGAAUUGGGCAUCCAACGUGUUUUAUCCAAAGUCGUAAGCAUGAACAAACAAACAUACGUACAAAAUGAACCAAAACCCAUAUGUUUGUGCAAUUAACUACAGGUGCUAUCCAACUUGCUAUUGGACAGAGUAGAGCCUGAUUUACUAGCAGCCUGACACAAUAUUUUAACUCUGGGCUUGGUGCAUGAAUCCUAGUAGAGAGACAAGAAAGAGUUAACCACAACAAAGAAUUCAUUCAUGGGAUUAUUCCAGUAGCAAGUACUGCUUGGCUGCAGUUUUAGAAAGGGGACUUGAGUUUGGUCAAACAAAAAGAAAAAGUGACGCAUACUUGUUCAUAGAUAGAAACUGAACAUCCAACGGCAACGGCGGCGCCGAUGCGGGUGGAUGGGCGGCAGCUUGGGUGAUCUCAUCUGCUAGACCAUGUCGC
rnacentral:lncRNA from 1 species